rnacentral:rRNA from 1 species
CAGGAUGAACGCUAGCUACAGGCUUAACACAUGCAAGUCGAGGGGCAGCAUUGGAGUAGCAAUACUCAGAUGGCGACCGGCGCACGGGUGAGUAACACGUAUCCAACCUGCCGCUUACUCGGGGAUAGCCUUUACGAAAGAAAGAUUAAUACCCGAUGGUAUAAAGAGUUCGCAUGUUCUCUUUAUUAAAGAAUUUCGGUAAGCGAUGGGGAUGCGUUCCAUUAGAUUGUUGGCGGGGUAACGGCCCACCAAGUCUACGAUGGAUAGGGGUUCUGAGAGGAAGGUCCCCCCACAUUGGAACUGAGACACGGUCCAAACUCCUACGGGAGGCAGCAGUGAGGAAUAUUGGUCAAUGGACGAGAGUCUGAACCAGCCAAGUAGCGUGAAGGAUGACUGCCCUAUGGGUUGUAAACUUCUUUUAUAAGGGAAUAAAGUGAGGGACGUGUCCCUUUUUGUAUGUACCUUAUGAAUAAGGAUCGGCUAACUCCGUGCCAGCAGCUGC